CCCGGAAGCGUGUAUAUUGACAGCUUGCACAUUUUCUGAAUGCCAUCAAUCAUGCGAUGGUGUUUCCCGGCCACACCACAAACCGUGAAAUAGAGAAAAGACUGUUAAAAACACGCUCUCUGUUAAAAUAAACAUUACUGAUUACUACAAGAGACAUUGGGAAUGAAGGUUAGUUUUUACUUUUAUCUUUCCUUUAUUAACCCGCAAAUUUAAUAAUUGAGACUAUUUUAAAAAAAUGAUAGUUUGCCUCGUCUAUGGCAAUAUUUAUAGUAUUUGAAAUAUGUAUUUAUAAGAUUGUUUCUCUUACAGUUAUAAUACAAUAUAUUGACUGUUAUAUUUGUAUAUGCGUGGGGAGGCGAUACGGUCACUGAUUUAUGUAUUAGAAACAUCUUGCUAAAAUAACAUGCCUCACUCAGACGACCUUUUGGCUGGGAACGCGACAAAAUUCAACUUCAUGUGGCUUGUGAAUCUUGCAACACUGUAACGUCUGUAAGAUUUGUUUAUUAUUCACUGAUAACAGGGUUACUUGAGACACUGAAGGACCAAGUACCUGGUGUUUCUGAUUUAAUAGAACUACUUGUAUAUAAUGUAAACUACUUGUAUACUAAUAUUUUGGUAUCUCAUGACCAGGUAAUAUUUUGAAAAUAUUGCCUCAUGCAUAUCAAGUAUUGCGUAUCAUAUUUCAAAGCCCAUUUUGUAUAAAAAUCUCUACGGUAUCACGAAUUAAAGUCACUAAUAUUCAUGUGCUAGUAACUUAGUGAAUUGUUCAAUGUAACUCAGUAUUUUCAACGGGUAAAGAAGUUGCUGAGUAAUGUUUUUUGAAGGGAAAUACCAAAUUUUUUUGUUAACAUUUCUUGACGUUUGAAUAGUUAAAUUAUUUGCAUAAUUCGCUGCGGGGAUUUCCCUCAGAUCGGCAACCUUCACAGUAUUUGUCAUUUCUGUUGAUAAAAUAGUAUCAAAUGUUUCUUCCUACUUUCGUUCUCUUAUAUUUAGAUGAAGAAAUGGAAUUCGAAGAGGUUCUUCACACUUUUGUGUUCAGUUUUAUAUUUUAUGCCAUGUAUGUAUGAAAACUUUUAGCUUUAAUUUUCUCAUAC